UACGUAGGGGGCAAGCGUUGUCCGGAUUUAUUGGGCGUAAAGAGCGUGUAGGCGGCCUGAAAGGUCAGCUGUGAAAACUCGAGGCUCAACCUCGAGACGUCGGUUGAAACCAUCUGGCUAGAGUCCGGAAGAGGAGUGUGGAAUUCCCGGUGUAGCGGUGAAAUGCGCAGAUAUCGGGAGGAACACCUGUGGCGAAAGCGGCGCACUGGACCAUAACUGACGCUGAGGCGCGAAAGCUAGGGGAGCAAACAGG
rnacentral:rRNA from 1 species